GAGGAAUAUUGGUCAAUGGGGGCAACCCUGAACCAGCCAAGUCGCGUGAAGGAUGAAGGUCUUAUGGAUUGUAAACUUCUUUUACACGGGAAUAAAGUGGGGGACGUGUCCCCCUUUGCAUGUACCGUGUGAAUAAGGAUCGGCUAACUCCGUGCCAGCAGCCGCGGUAAUACGGAGGAUCCGAGCGUUAUCCGGAUUUAUUGGGUUUAAAGGGUGCGCAGGCGGGAUGUUAAGUCGGCGGUGAAAUUUUGCAGCUCAACUGUAAAAGUGCCUUCGAUACUGGCCUCCUUGAGUGUGGAUGAAGUAGGCGGAAUUUGUGGUGUAGCGGUGAAAUGCUUAGAUAUCACGAGGAACUCCGAUUGCGCAGGCAGCUUACUAAGCCACAACUGACGCUCAUGCACAAAGGCGUGGGGAUCAAACA
rnacentral:rRNA from 1 species